AGUUGUAUCAUGCAGUAGUAGGUGCCAGUUUACAUCUGUAUAGGUUUCAUAUUAUUGUAGUCUUGGCAAUGGAAUAUGUAGUUCUGAUUCAAGUUUACAUACUUUAGAUUAGCUUGAUGAUUAUAUCAUUAAUAAUGGCCACAGUCUCGUAAACUGUGGAAAAGUUUGAGAGCUGUGAGCGGGAAAGUGGCAAAUGAAGCUGAAUGUAAACUUAAAUAGUU